rnacentral:rRNA from 1 species
AGUCGAGCGAACAGACAAGGAGCUUGCUCCUUUGACGUUAGCGGCGGACGGGUGAGUAACACGUGGGUAACCUACCUAUAAGACUGGGAUAACUUCGGGAAACCGGAGCUAAUACCGGAUAAUAUUUCGAACCGCAUGGUUCGAUAGUGAAAGAUGGUUUUGCUAUCACUUAUAGAUGGACCCGCGCCGUAUUAGCUAGUUGGUAAGGUAACGGCUUACCAAGGCGACGAUACGUAGCCGACCUGAGAGGGUGAUCGGCCACACUGGAACUGAGACACGGUCCAGACUCCUACGGGAGGCAGCAGUAGGGAAUCUUCCGCAAUGGGCGAAAGCCUGACGGAGCAACGCCGCGUGAGUGAUGAAGGUCUUCGGAUCGUAAAACUCUGUUAUUAGGGAAGAACAUACGUGUAAGUAAC